UUUUCACAAGGGGUCUUGGCUGGAACUCCUCAAAGUGAUUCACCGCUUUGUGAUCAACCGCAUACUCGUAGCAGUUGUCAUUCAGUUGACACAUAUCCAGUUGCAACAAUUAAGAGUUUGCCAAAACAAAAUAAGAAACUAACAGACCAAAGUGGUGAUCUAUCCGCUACUGGUACAUAACCUCCCCUUGUUGAUGAUGAUGUCUUACAACACUUGGGGGACAAUUGCAAGUAUUUAGUCAAUGCAUUGAAAAGCUUUCCAUCUGAUAAAGAUUAUAUUGAGUUGGGAUUGAAUGAAGAAAUCUUUCAUCAUAGAAACACAAGUUCUAUUUUUGUGAUGAUGAAAGAUAUAAAGGAUUUGAUGCUGAUGAAUUGGCUAGACGUCUCAAUCAUACAAGUGUUUAUAUUAUUUCUUAAUCGGUUGUGCAAUAAGUUUAAAGUUAGGUCAAUCGGG